rnacentral:rRNA from 1 species
UACAGAGGGUGCAAGCGUUAAUCGGAUUUACUGGGCGUAAAGCGUGAGUAGGUGGCUUCCUAAGUCGGUUGUGAAAUCCCUGGGCUUAACCUGGGAAUUGCAGUCGAUACUGGGAAGCUCGAGUUCGGUAGAGGGUGGCGGAAUUCCCGGUGUAGCGGUGAAAUGCGUAGAUAUCGAGAGGAACACCGGUGGCGAAGGCGGCCAUCUGGGCUGACACUGACGCUCAUGCACGAAAGCGUGGGGAGCAAACAGG